CCUACGGGAGGCUGCAGUGGGGAUUAUUGGGCAAUGGGCGAAAGCCUGACCCAGCAACGCCGCGUGAAGGAAGAAGGCCUUCGGGUUGUAAACUUCUUUUGACAGGGAAGAGCAGAAGACGGUACCUGUCGAAUAAGCCUCGGCUAACUACGUGCCAGCAGGCGCGGUAAUACGUCAGUGGCAAGCGUUGUCCGGAUUUACGGGGUGUAAAGGGCGUGUAGCCGGGAUGACAAGUCCAGUGUGAAAACCGGGGGCUCAACCCCCGAACUGCCUUUGAAACUGUUGGUCUUGAGUGUCGGAGAGGUAGGCGGAAUUCGUGGUGUAGCGGUGAAAUGCGUAGAUAUUAGGAAGAACACCGGUGGCGAAGGCGGCCUGCUGGACGACAACUGACGGUGAGGCGCGAAAGCGUGGGGAGCGAACAGGAUUAGAUACCCGAGUAGUC
rnacentral:rRNA from 1 species